UACGUAGGGGGCAAGCGUUGUCCGGAAUCAUUGGGCGUAAAGCGCGUGUAGGCGGCUAGGUAAGUCUGCUCUGAAAGCCCGGGGCUCAACCCCGGGAGGCGGGUGGAUACUGUCUAGCUCGAGUCCGGAAGAGGAGUGUGGAAUUCCUGGUGUAGCGGUGAAAUGCGCAGAUAUCAGGAAGAACACCCGUGGCGAAGGCGGCUCUCUGGGACGGUACUGACGCUGAGACGCGAAAGCGUGGGGAGCGAACAGG
rnacentral:rRNA from 1 species